UCACUAAUAAUUAUUUGAAUUCAAAUAUAUAUAAAUUAUAUAAAUUUAUUUUAUAAAAUUAUAGUUUAAAAUUUAAAAUUAAAAUAUAAAUUUAAAAUUUUAAUUUUAAUUUUUAAAAUUUUAAUUUAAAAUUUUUAAAUUAAAAUUUGACUUUUACCUUGAAUUGAAUUGUAAAUUCAAAAUUUUAAGUUUAAAUUGUAAGUUCAAAUUUUGAUUAAAAUUUUGAAUAAAAAGUAUAAAUUUUUAAUAAAAAUUUAAUUUUAUUGAAUUUUUAUUUGGACAUAAUUCUAAUUCCAAUUUUGACUCCUCUUAUGAGCCAAAGAAAUUAAUUAUCAACUUUAUCAUUCUGUUUUUGAUUCCAAUCCUGUUUUUAAUUCCAACCCAUUUUCAUUUCUGUUCCGAUUUCGAUUUUUCUUUUAAACCGAGCGUACUCUAAAUUGUGUCUCUUACUCCUUCAAAGAAAUUAAUUUAUUACCUUAAUUGCUUUGAUUUUUCAAUUUUUUUUUUUUAUCUUUCCUCUGUGUCAUAUUCUUGUACAUAACAAUAAUUAAAAAAAAGUUACGAGUGCGUCUGGUAUGCUUCUGGAAGCACGGAGCGCUCUGUGCUUCCACAUUGUUUCCGAUGUUCGGACUUUCGAAUCGACGAUCGGCUCCGUUAGACUUGAUCUAGAGUAUUUGAAGUAUCUAGAAAAUAAAUUUUGCGAUUUUUCGAUAUCAUUUGCCUAGUGAUUGAAGUGGCUCAAAAUCAACAGCUGAAAAUAAAAUCUUACAAAAUAUGAUGAUAUGACAUUAAAAUUUUAGAUUAACGUUAUUGAUGUUGUUUAAUAUGGUAUAAAGAAUUUUUUAUCAAAAUUUCAUGUGAUUUGAAUAUUUCUACACCGUUAAACUUGCAAACGGCUCACCACAGCCGUUAAAAUUAUUGAUUUUGAGCCCCUUCAAUCACUAGGCAAAUGAUAUCGAAAAAUCACAAAAUUUAUUUUUUAGGUACUUCAAAUACUCUAGAUCAACUCUAAUGGAACUGAUCGUCGAUUUGAAAAUCCGAAUAUCAAAAACAACUUAGAUGCACGGAGAGAAGCAUACCAGCCCACUCAAAAGUUACAAUAAUUAACAUCAACU
rnacentral:lncRNA from 1 species